GCGCGUAAAUUGCCCGAAUCCUGACACAGGGAGGUAGUGACAAGAAGUAACAAUACAGGGCUACUUCUAGUCUUGUAAUUGGAAUGAGUACAACUUACAUCUCUUCACGAGGAUCAAUUGGGGGGCAAGUCUGGUGCCAGUAGCCGCGGUAAUUCCAGCUCCAAAAGCGUAUAUUAAAGUUGUUGCAGUUAAAACGCUCGUAGUCGGGUUUCGGGUCGGGCCGAGCGGUCUGCCGAUGGGUAUGCACUGUUUGGCGCGGCCUUCUUUCCGGAGACCGCGGCUACUCUUAACUGAGCGGGCGUGGGAGACGGAUCGUUUACUUUGAAAAAAUCAGAGUGUUUCAAGCAGGCAGCUCGCUCUUGCAUGGUACAGCAUGGGAUGAUUGAAUAGGACUCCGGUGCUAUUUUGUUGGUUUCGAACGCCGAAGUAAUGAUUAACAGGGACAGUCAGGGGCACUCGUAUUCC
rnacentral:rRNA from 1 species